CCAUCCUAAGCUUGUAUGCAUAUGAAGCACCCCACCCUGAGCCAGCUGCUGUUGAUGCUGACAAGAGAUCUUUUUGUGUAUGGGCUACAGUUUGUACUCAAAAUUGAAACAAUAAAGAAAACUGCUUAAGGGAUUUUUGAUUUUAAAUUGAAUGAAAUUGAAAUGAAUUGAAAUACAGCUUGGUGUCCUUGCCUUGCUUUUUGAAAUAUGGGUCACUGGCGUGCCAUUUAAAGGCCAGGAAUGGCCCUCAGCUCCAAAAGGGAUGCACCCCUCCUCGCUGUAUCAGAUUGCAAUAUCUAAGUACUCCUUUCUAUUUUCCAUUUCAAACAUUAUGGCUAUAUAAGUUAACUGACUUUUUCCUUCAUUAACUUCUGGUCAUUUCCAAUUCCUUUUAAUUGUCUGAGCUCAUCAGACUGCCAACAUGGAAAAUACAAUCUUACGCUUUAGAAACAGAAAAACCGGAAGAAAAAAACAUUGCACAUUCAAGCUGCUACAUCCAAUCCUGGAUAUAGCAUUACUAAGAACUUUUAUGGCAUACAGUCAUAGGUACCUUUCAGAGCACCUACACUUUUCAAUGAUUUUCUUAAAAUCAAGAGAAUAUUCAAAUAUAAUUUGGAACUCUGUGCUCAAAGAAUAGAGAAGCAUAUGAAUAAGCAAGUUUUAUUUUAAUGUGUGUGUAUAAUAUAUAUUUUACAGACCCUGCUGUAUAGCACUUAUUUUCAACCAACAAUGUGCUAGGCACUUCACAAUUUGAGCACCUUUUUAAAAAAAAGCACAUAAAAGAUUCAACUUUCUGGUAAAAACUCAAUACAUUUCCUCAUGGGUAUGGCAUACAAUGAAAUACAAUUAUGGUAUAUGAUAAGGCAAAUUUUCUGUAUCUCCAGAAAUAUUAGCAGUCCCUUCCAUUGAGGUUCACUUCCCUUUUUUUCUAUGAUGGAGGUAGAAUGGAACCCACCUGUGGUUCUUUUUUUCCUUAAGACAUGAUUGAUUUGAUUAUCUUCUUUUCCAACAACAGAAAUUUUUCUUCUCCUCGAUAUAUAGAGGCCAGAUGAAGCAUACCUACCAGCUGCCAUCCUGUAUUUAAUCGUAUUUCCAAACCUCAACCCAAUGCAAGUAGAAAGGAUAGUUAAGAUCUCAACAACAUCCUUCAAAAACUGAAUUUAUUCCAAAGCCUGUCUUUCUGUAGUUGGGUUUGAUUGUACCUAUCUGCAGCUCUUCCAGAGGUAUUUUGUGAGUAAAAAGCUCUUGCUUUCUCUGGCAAUUCAAAUUUCUAAAUAAAAUAAUGGGAAAAAGGUGAUUCUUGCUGCUUAGCAGAAAGGCUAGUACCUAUUAAACAGUUUCCCAGCUAGCAUGGGAAUAUUGGGAGUUGAAGUCCACAAAUUUUAAAACCUAGCAAGUUGCAGGGGUGUCAAACUCGUGGCCCAUGGGCUGGAUGCAUCACGCGCUGGCAAUGUCCACCCCCAUUUUAGCAAAGAGGGGGAAGGCAUGAUACGUAAUGUGAUGACAAUGUGACACCGCAAGUUUGACAUCCCUGCACUAUUGUGUUUUUUUAAUUCCCUUCAGGCUCCUGAGGAAAGUGGGAAAUACUUUUAAAUUAAAGACAAAGAAAAGUCAUUCGUUAUUAUAUUCCCUUCAAGAUUUAACUUAAAAAACAAAACAAAACUAUAGCUAAAGGGAAAGAAAACACAAUGUAUUUCUCCAUUGACUGGACAGUUCUUAUUUAGUAAACCAUUGGUUUUAACCUUCAUGAAUGUAAAUUCAAAUAUUAUCAGGAAUGUAUAUAAUGCUUUAGUGAGGCACAUGUUCCAUGGUUUACAUGGAGAAUUUAAAUCAAAUGAUGCUAUCUAGUCCUCAAAAAACACUUAAUGCCAAGUCCAUAUUUGCCUUUACUGAGGCUUAAAUAUGUCUUAAAUCAACAGGAUGACAAAGAUCAGGCUCUGUGUUACAUGUUUAUGUGUUAAAAUGCUAUACUCAGGUUACUCACAUUUUAAACCCAAAAUGAAAAAUUUAUUAACAGACAUUGUUGUUCCCUUCCCCCACC